rnacentral:rRNA from 1 species
GACGUAGGGCGCGAGCGUUGUCCGGAUUUAUUGGGCGUAAAGAGCUCGUAGGCGGCUUGUCGCGUCGUCCGUGAAAACCUGCAGCUCAACUGCAGGCUUGCGGUCGAUACGGGCAGGCUGGAGUUCGGUAGGGGAGACUGGAAUUCCUGGUGUAGCGGUGAAAUGCGCAGAUAUCAGGAAGAACACCCGUGGCGAAGGCGGCUUUCUGGGACGGUACUGACGCUGAGACGCGAAAGCGUGGGGAGCGAACAGG